UUUUAGUAGAGACGGGGUUUCACCGUGUUAGCCAGGAUGGUCUCGAUCUCCUGACCUUGUGAUCCGCCCGUCUCGGCCUCCCAAAGUGCUGGGAUUACAGGCUUGAGCCACUGCGCCCGGCCUUACACAGGACCAUUUUUAAAAAACGUAACAUCUGCAAAGAGAUCUCUUUGUCCCCUCACCUGCCCCCAUGUCUACCGUUCUGUGGAGAGGGUAGGGUGGUGGGAGCCAGGGACCAGAAUUGCUUAGGCACACACUUGAUCUCAGGUGCAGAGAACACAGGUUCUCUGAAAGGAACCCUAUGGGGGUCAGGAGCAUUUUCCAAGAGUGGUCCAGGUGACCCUCAGUUCACACAAUUCGGUUUGAUACAGCGCUGCCCCAUGAGGAUGAACAUGCGUAUGCCCCGUUUCCAGAAGCAGCACCACCUUUCAUGGAAAACCCAUUACUCUCUCACUUCUUCCACAUAACACACAGUUAUGGACCAGCCGUGGGCCCCCUGCACCCUUGGAUAAAACGAGAGUCAAAACCACACCGAUAAUCACAUGGAUUCCAAUGCAGUCAGGCCCCACUUGUGCCUCAUUCAGGUAAAAAUCCUCACAGAAGGAACCCCUGCGCUCAGCAGUGUUAGCACAGGGACAAGCUGUCCUCAGGCGGAACACCUCUCCACCCUGAGAUCUGCUCCUGAGCUGCGCCAUGGCAAUAAGGGACAGAGCACCCGGGCGGCAGCCAAAUUAUUCAUUUUUUUCAAAUAGAGAAAGGCGCCAUGGAGACAUACAUUUCAUAUCCACUGAGUGAGGAGGCCCUCCAUGGGCACCUCCACCAUGGUGAGUUCCUCUAGGGCAAGGACCCUGUCAUGCCCAUUUCCAGAUCCCUCAGUCUAGCCCAGGGUCUGGCACAAGGAUGACCAGUGCAUGAAGGACGACCUUCAGGACCCUCCCAGGAAAUAAAUUGGAGUUUGAUCUGGUUUUCUACCAGCAGCUCCUUCUCUGUUGUCCACUACAGCCCAAUGAGGAAGCUGGAGGGGAGAGCUCCGAGCACAGCUGGGAGGCUGGCCAGACCUGAGUGUGAAUCUCUGUUUUGAGACUCUCUGUCCAAGUUCUGCUAUUUGUGUGCUGUGUGACCCCGGUGGGUUGUGUGGCCUCUCUGAGCCCCACUAUCAUCAUAAGCAAAAGGGUGGGGGAGUGCCUCUUCUUGGGAGCAUUAUGACGAUGAGAUGUCAUGCCUAGGACUGAGCUGGCCCUUUAGCAAACAGUGGCAAGCCCCAGGAAUGCUGAUGAUGUUGGCCCUUCCUCUGCCUUCAUUCAUACUAAGAAACUCUCCCGGGCAAGUGGCUUUCCAAGAGCUAAGUCAUCACCGGUGUGCUGGGUACCCAAGGCCACAGUCUCAAAAGGCUUUCCAGCAGCUCAGCUUUCUCCCUCCUUCCCCUCCCACUGGCCUUUCCCCUCUGAUUCCCCUAGGCGCUGGUCAUGGGCUAUGGCCACACCCAGAUGGUGGCUGUUCAUGGGACCUGCCAAUGGAGGGAUGGUGAGCAAACACUUCAGUGUCCCCAUUUUACAGAUGGUGAAACUGAAGCUUGGAGAGAGGAAGUAAGUGGCUAGCCUAGGAUCACAUACUCACACCCAUUCACUGCAAGGGAAGGACCGAGAUGGCCCCAUCUCUAGAGCUUCCCACCAUGCCUGCAGUCUAAUAUGGGUCCACAAUAACAUUUAACUUCAAACACGCAUCCAUGCCACAGAGCCCCACGGGGACGGGGCAGCCAGCUGUCAAAGCACAACCCCAGAGUCUCAAACCCAGGAUGUGCCCAGUGUGCUCCCACUGCAGAUAGCAGAGCUGAAGUCCAAGGCGCCCAACGUGGGGCUCCUCAACAUCAGAGCUCUACCUGCAGCCCAGUCUCACUGCAGGUUUCACACUGAGCCUCACGGUCAGGCAGAGAUCCAUCUUUAAGUGGCUUCCACUGGGUGAUGAAUUUCCUCUUCUGGUUUUCAAUAAAAACUCAAGAGGGGCAGUAUGGCCUAGUGGGCAGACCCAGGUAUAUGAGUCAGCUCUGCCACCCACAUGUCAUGGCUUCAUCCCCACUAUCUUCCUUGGUUUCCCCAUUUAUAUAAUGAAGGGGUUGGAGGAGAUGAUCUCUUGGGAUCCCUGGUCUUGGAUUGUUAAAGAUUGACUUGACCUCAGGUCACCCAAGAACCCAUUUCUGGGCCAGUCUGCUGCACACAGAGGGCAAUGCCAGCCUCCUCUGCCACUUUCCAAGUCCCUUUAAAGGAGAAUGGGGCUGCCUUGCUCUGAGGUCUCUGAUGUCCAUGGCCAAUGCUGCUUCUUCACAUCCACUAACUGCUUGAAAGCGCUGCAUCCAGCACUGCAUUAAAAAUUAAUUACACAUGCUAUCUUAUUGCCAGUGCAUAAUGUAAUGAGCACCAGCUGUGCUAAACAGCCAAACUCCUUUUUAAGACAGCUAUAAAAAAAAAAAAAAGGAAAAAAAGAAAGAAAGAAAGAAACUGCACUUCCAAAUGCCUCUCCUGUCAGAGCAGAAAAACAGCAACAUCUUGUAUGGAUUUGAACAGAAUUCUUUGAUUUAGCUCUGCCUUCAGAACGUCUGAAGGGCCAGCUCAGAGAGUGAAAUGGAAUCUGGCGAGGCUGCAGCGAUCUCCACUCAGGGAUUUGCUGGGGCCUCUUUUAUCUAAGGACAGUCAUGCUGGUAGGUGCCCCACCCCCAACAGAGCCACAGUGCAGCCCUUCUGUUGCCCCCAACUCCUCAGCUCCUCUGGCCCUUGCUGAUGCUGUAGGAAAUGUCACUUUCCAGCUAUGUGGGACAGGGGACUUUCUGGCAUCCACCAAGCCCUGCCACCCUUGGCUACCUCCAGCACUCUGAGAAUCAGCUUCCCCCACCCUGGGGGCCUUGCAGCUCUCCAUGGCUUCUCCUGGCACUUCCUCCAGUCACAGAAAGAGGCAUCUGGGUUCUCGAGGCAGGCGGGCAGGGACAGCCUCUGCAGCAGUGUGACCUGAAGAAGCAGGCAGGUGCUAGGGUAGAAUCAAUGGCACUUGCAUGCGGGAAGAGCAACAGCGCUGUAAAUGCUGGUUUGCGGAUGCUGGGACCACCAGCCCUUGGGCGAUGUAGACAUUGCAAGGCAUACAGAUGACUCUCUAAAUUUUUAAUAACUCCCCUGAAAGCCCUUUUCCUACAUCGAGCCAGCCCCCAUCAACCCUGGGACCUGUCUGGUUAGCCCAGAAGGAUCCUAACAACAAACGUUACUUUGCAAAGGGAAUCCCAUGAGCACGUUUUCCAACGUUCCCAUGACGGAGCUCUGCUGUCCACACAUGCUCACUCACACGGUUCUUUUUGUCUUCACCCCCAUACUCACCCCUCCCUCCAGUCUCAGUGGCCAAUCUAACGCCCUCUUGGAGUGCCUCUGGCACCCCCUGCACCAGAAUCAAGGCGGCGCAUCAGCAGGGGCCUGGUGAGGUUACCAUCUCUGUCCGCAUCACCGUUUGGCUUCCCAUGGAUCCUCCGGUGUUAAUCAAACCCAGUCCAGAAUGAAACUACAGCUUGCUUCUUGUUCUGGUAUGAAAUGUGCAAAGCACAGACCAUAUCAUUAACAUAAAACUUCCAGAAAUAAGGCCACUUUCCAGGCAGACUGUAUUAAUUGCAUCAGGCUUCCACAGCUAGGGUGGUCUAAUCCACGGCGCCCCAUUGGACGGCUCUGGUUAUAAAACCAACACAAAAUGAACACUGGGAUAUAAUUGAAGGAGGAGAAAAGGAUAGAUUCUAUGGUUAAACCCUACUAUUUACUUACAGGUAUUCUUUUAUCUUUAUUGUCCCUUUAACCCAUGCCAAGAAACCCCAGACUAGUUAAAUAACACAGCAAGCACAAUUUCAGUAGAAAAGUAAAUUGAAUUUAACUUUACAAGAUUGCCCUGUGAUUUCAGCAUACACUAAUGACUGCAACUGACUCCCUCUAUUAAAUCCAAACACUUCCACUUCCCUGAGCUGGGAUCCUGUGUGUUCUUGCGUGAGACCUUGAACUUCACCAAGUACACGUAUUAAUCACUGUGGCUGAUGACCAUUUGCAGCUUUUAAAUAUGCAAUGAAGUGUCUCAGUUCCUAUUCCACCUCCCAAAGCUGGUACAUGAUCUGAGCCAGCCAAGAGGCUAAAUACUUUUAAGAAUGGAAAGCGAGGAUCCAGCUUGCCACGAGACCUGACGGAGUCCCAGUGUUGUGAAACCCAUUAGGCUCGUGCAUGGACUCUAACUUCGACAGGGCUCACUCGGCACAUGGCGCUGUUCUCAGCACCUGGCCCAUAUGAUCUCACACAAUCCCCAGAACGACCCUUCAGAGCCUGUCCUAUCCGUAGCUCCAUUUUGUAGAUGGGGAAACUGAGGAAUGGAGAGGGGAAAUGACUACGCGGGGCAGAACAGCCUUCACCCCCAAGCAAUCUCAUACACUUGACGACCGCCUUCCAAUCGUGGAAGCCUCAGAACAGGGAAGGGUUCCAGCAUGCGGGGCACAAAGCCCAAGAGUGUCCAAACCAUUCUCUGAAUGCCCCACGCCCUGCCCUGGGAACCUAGCUAGCCCCAUGCUCACUCCACCCACAGCAGCUCCACACUGACCUGUCUCAGAAAAUAACACGAGCCUCGUUUUCAAAUGUUGCAUACAUACGCAUAUACACACAAAGAUGUAUUUUUACAGAAGGGGAAACUGAGGCAAUGACUUCUUUAGGGCCUCUGGCCAGCUGAAGCAAAGACCAGGACCACAGUCUGAGGCUCUUGACCCCACAGCCACUGUGCCAAAUCCUCUAUGUGAAAUUUCUCAGGGAAGAAAUCUCAGUUCCCAGGAAUGCCUAGACUCAAAGCCCCACAUUCCUUCAGCAGAGUCAAAAAGAGUCAGGAUCCCUGAGUCCCUUCUCCGCACUGCGACCGUUGGAAGGAGGUCUAGGCUUGGGGUCUCGGGAGGCAGGACCACCUGGGAUGCUGCCAGCCCAGGGUGUGCACAAACACACAUACCUGUGUGGUUUUCUCCCCCCGGUAAAAUCACAUCCUUCUAUAAAUAACUGCGGAUGCAGUAACAGGCACGCAAUUAACCUGUGUGAAACACGUUUACACUGGGGUUCUCCGUAUUAAUUUGAAGAGAUGGGUUCAGCGCAUCCUGAUCUGAAAAGGGACAAAACCAAGUAAGGACGGCAGGCCCAUUCCAUCUUUACAAAGGCCUGCUUCUUCCUAACAGGCUACUGGGAACUUAAUGACUCCAUUCCAACUACUAAUUAAACAGGCACUAAAAACACUUAAGCAAACAGCCCAGUGCCAGGGACACAAACCACAAAGGGACAAAAAAACACCAGAAUAGGAUAGUUUCAGGUAUUGAAAUUGAUCGGGAAACAUGGUGGUGCAAGUUGGUGCGGGCCAAUGAACUGGGACCGAAUGAAAACAGAAAACUGUACUGGACAUGGUGGUAGAGGGCAGGAGGUAAGAACAGGCCCCUUAGAAGGGUCUCCUGGAGCAGUCCUAGGGGCUCAGCCUCCUGCAGUCCCAACCCCAGGAACAGGACACUGCCCUUCCUCACGCCCCUCCCAGAGCACUGCAAUCAAGCAUUGGUUGCUCACAGGCUCUGAGUCCUGGCAGCUCUCAAGGCGUAAAAUCUAAAAAGGCCUUUAAUGCCAGAUGAAGAGCCAAAGCCAAAGAUGUGGCAGGUGCUGGAUGGACAGCCUGGGAUCAAAUCCCACCUCCG
ensembl:lncRNA